UUUGCACCCAAAUGGUUAAAGCCUUCCAGAACUGGUACUUUGAUCUAACUUCUAUUCCUAAUAAAUAAUCCAGCUGCAUACAGUUUACUCAAUUUCUGCCAUGUGUAAGGAGCUGUUCUCAAAACAUUGGGUGACAAAGAAUUCACUUUUACAAAAAUCGAGCAGGAUAUUAAAGACAGCGAACUAUAGAACAAAUAUGGCGAAGCUGAAUGAAAUCUAUGUUGAAUUUUAUUAUUGAAAAAAAUUAUGCUCUUCAGAUUUAAUGUUAGUUUUUAUUGUUUAACAGUAAUUGCAGUUUUCGAAUACCUGUAAAAUAAACCUAAUUCUUAAAUUAA